rnacentral:rRNA from 1 species
UCUUGGUCAAUGGGCGAUGGCCUGAACCAGCCAAGUCGCGUGAAGGAUGACUGCCCUAUGGGUUGUAAACUUCUUUUAUAAAGGAAUAAAGUCGGGUAUGCAUACCCGUUUGCAUGUACUUUAUGAAUAAGCAUCUGCUAACUCCGUGCCAGCAGCCGCGGUAAUACGGAGGAUCCGAGCGUUAUCCGGAUUUAUUGGGUUUAAAGGGAGCGUAGAUGGAUGUUUAAGUCAGUUAUGAAAGUUUGCGGCUCAACCGUAAAAUUGCAGUUGAUACUGGAUAUCUUGAGUGCAGUUGAGGCAGGCGGAAUUCGUGGUGUAGCGGUGAAAUGCUUAGAUAUCACGAAGAACUCCGUUUGCGAAGGCAGCCUGCUAAGCUGCAACUGACGUUGAGGCUCGAAAGUGUGGGUAUCAGACAGG